CUCCCAUGGUCACUCUGGUCACUCUGGGGGUCAGCCUGACCCUCAGCCUGAUGGUCACUCCCAUGGUCACUCCGAUGGUCACUCUGGUCACUCUGGGGGUCAGCCUGACCCUCAGCCUGAUGGUCAUUCUGAUGGUCACUCAGAUGGUCACUCUGGUCACUCAGCUGGUCAGCCUGACCCUCAGCCUGAUGGUCACUCGGCUGGUCACUUUGGGGGUCAGCCUGACUGUCAGCCUGGCCGUCAUUCUGAUGGUCACUCCGAUGGUCAGCCUGACCCUCAGCCUGAUGGUCACUCCGAUGGUCACCCAGCUGGUCACUCGGCUGGUCAGCCCAGUGGUCAUUCUGAUGGUCACUCAGCUGGCCACUCUGCUGGUCCUUCUGAUGGUCACUCCAGUGGUCACUCUGCUGGUCAGACUGGUGGUCACUUUGGUGGUCACUCUGCUGGUCACCGUGCUGGUCGUUCUGCUGGCCACCUUCCUGGUCACUCAGGUGGUCACUGUGGUCACUGUGGUCACUCUGCUGGUCACUCUGCUGGUCACUGUGGUCACUCU
rnacentral:lncRNA from 1 species